rnacentral:rRNA from 1 species
GCUCCCGCUAAUGUGAAACCUGCGGAGGGACAUUACCGAGAGAGGGCGCCUCGCGCGCCCGACCUCCCAACCCUUUGUCGACCGUACUGCGUUGCCUCUGGGUGCCGGCGCCCGCGUCGCCCCAAGAGGACCCAACCGAAACCCUGCGUCUUUGCGUCGGAGUCACUUUGAUAAAUCAAUCAAAACUUUCAACAACGGAUCUCUUGGUUCUGGCAUCGAUGAAGAACGCAGCGAAAUGCGAUAAGUAAUGUGAAUUGCAGAAUUCAGUGAAUCAUCGAAUCUUUGAACGCACAUUGCGCCCUCUGGUAUUCCGGGGGGCAUGCCCGUUCGAGCGUCAUUUCACCACUCAAGCCUGGCUUGGUAUGGGGCGGCGGGGACCACCCCCGCGCCCCGAAUUCGUCGGCUGGACGGACGGAAUCUCAGCGUUGUGAUCUCUCAAUUCGCUCACGAGGACGCCCGGACGCGCCGUUAAAAUUGAAUCAGGUUGACCUCGGAUCGGGUAGGGAUACCCGCUGAACUUAAGCAUAUCAAUAAGGCGGAGGAA